CUCUUCAGCUCCAUGGAUUUUUAAAUUUUCAUUUAAAUUUUGUUCUAGACCUUUGGGUUUUUUAAAUAUAAACAUACUUCUUAACGAAGAAUGUGUAGAGCACACAAUUGUGGCAGUUGAGGUGGAAUCCACUGUUGCCAUGACACAGUGACUGGGUCCAUCAAAUUUCUUAGAAUGUGUCAUGAAGCUUUUGAAUAUCUCAAAAACAUUCCUUUGAAACUGUCAGACAACUGUUUGAUAGGGUUUUCUUAUUUGUUAAGACUCACAAGUCCUAUUUUUCUCAGCAUGUGGUGUUGAGCACAAUGUGCAAUGUUGACCAGCCUUUAUUUAGAUAAGCUGGAAGAGCAUUAGUUUUCCUCGGGAAGCCAUGCACAGGCAAAAUUAAUUGAGGAAACCAACUGAUUUCUUCUUUUCCAGCUGCAAUUCAAAUGACCCAGGUGUAAUACAGUGCAGUGGCGAAAACUCAAGGCACACAAAGCCCUGUAUUAAACAGUUGCUACUCACAGAAUGAGGUGUUGAUUGUUAAAUCAUCAUUAAGAAAAAUAACAGUUUCCAAAUGGACACAACAGAAAUUUCCUUUCACUGUAGACUGUGGCUCAACUAACAUCUCUGGGGUUAAACCAGCCAGUUUCAGAAUUCUGCAUCAUUUUCUUCCCAGUGUGAACUUGUUUUCAAGAAAGUUGUUUUCUCAGUAAUAACAUUGGUCAUCCUAACAAGUUGAAUAGCAAUUUUCAAGUGCAGGCGUUUUCCGAACAAUAGUUUCUUUGCUUUAAAGUGAUAUGAAGCAAUAAAUGUCUAAGGAACAUGAUAUUUUGGAUGAGUUAGGUAAAGUUUUCUUUUUUUUCUCUUUCAUGCCUAGCUCAUGCUCCACUAAUCAUCAGAAAUGAUGUUUUGUCAAAAACCAUUGAACAAUUCAUUGAAUCCUUUAUUGUAUUCAAAAUAAUAUUCCCUUUUGUGGAGUUAUUCACAUUGUUCAUUGAGCUUCAAAAUUGUUUUUAAUCAUCUGAAACAUGGAAGGUCUAUCUGUCUGUAAUAAUCACGGCUCUGUGCUUAACCAAGAUCCAAGUGAUAAGAUCUGCUAUUAUGUCCUCUCACCUUGUUUUGUGUGGUUUAUUCUAACCGCAGAUACUUGAAUAAUCUACUACCUGAAUUGGAGGUCAGACUUGUUCUUUCAUUUCAUUGAAUUUGCUCUUUAAUUCUGUUCAGUAUCAUAACACAGCUUUAUUUUUCAAGUCCCUGAAGAUACAAGCUAAUUUUCCAUUCAAAAUAUUGUUUAUGGCAUAAUAAACCAGGCUGUGCUUAUUGAUGGUUCAGGGACAAUACAUUUCAAAUGAAUCUGACAUUUGUUGGGAUAGAAACAUUUUCCUUCUAGGUUCUUUAGCUAGUCUAAUAAUUAAAUUGAGAUAAGACAGAUUAACAGGAGAUAAACGAAAAUUCAACAUGUCUACCUCUUGUAUCUAUGGGAGGGACCCAGGGAAACUGAGUAACUCCCCCAAAUGGCCAAAGCCAUCAUUUUAAAUACCAUCUUCAGCUAAAGCUGAAAGAUGUUUGGGGUGGGGAGUCUGUUACAGAAGGCUACCAAGAAAAGUACAGUAAACAAGAGUAAAAUUGUUUGGAAGAUUCAAGCCCAUGCCUUCUUCAUCGGUAACAGUUUCUAGACAUUUUGAUUCAUCUUUCUCGGCAUCGCCAGGCAGACACCCUUACAAAUGGAGAUUUCCCAUAUAAAUUACUCAUACAAAAGGGUCAUUCUAUUUGGUUUUCAGACCUUUUCCCAUGUUUACCAUUUCUUAAAAAUAGCCAGUUUAAAGUAAUCAGUAUGCCAAAGAGGAAUUUCUAGGGUGACAUAAUUUGCUCCCCUUCACACUCAAUCCAUUGUAUUUAGGUCAGAAUCUGAAAUUUCCUAACAAUGCAGAAAACAAUUAUUUUUCUUUGACUUACCUGAAGUUUGACUAACCUUUUAUUUACUAUGACUUUCUAUAACACAGGCUUCAGUUCCAAAGAGUUAAAAACCAAAUGCUUCAUCCUCAGAGAUGAUUCAUCAACACCUUUCAAGGACAGUUCAGGAACCACUGAGGGGACAAUAAUCUUUAAGGAUAAGAACAGUGACUGUUCUCCAAUACGAAUGAAAAUAUGAAGACCGAUCCAGCUUGUAGCUUAGACUGCUGUUUCUGCUGCCUCCCAUAGCAACUCAGGUCCUCUGCCUGUUUCAGAGCCCAGAGCACCCAAUCGGAUGUUAAAGAGUUUCAAGUCUAGUGAAGAAGGUUGAUGUUCACACAACUACCUCUAGAAGAAUGCAGAGUGUGGUUUCAACGUUAGUAAACGGAGCCUGCUUGACAGAGAAAGGGAGAGCAUUCCAGGGGAAGAGUGACUAGAACACCGUCUGGCAUAGUAGAUGCACAAGAAAUAUUGUGGAAUGACUUGUGACCUCCACGGACAGACUGGAGAAAGAGAAGAGAAGCGGUAUGAGAAAACCAGACAGGAUGGAAAGCUAACCAUAGUGAGGACCAUGUUGACAUUGCCCUUGCUACAGGACAAGGUAAUGCUAGUGACUCUCAAUGCCUAAGUCACGCUAUCCAUUAUUAGCUUCUAGUCACACGCAGGGCUACAGAGAAUGUGCAAUGUGGCUAGUGCAAAUUAAGAUGUUCAGUAAGCAUCAAAUACACACUAGGUUUCAAAACUUAGGAGAAAGAAAACAAGAAUGUAAAAUAUCAAAUUAAUAA